rnacentral:rRNA from 2 species
CGGGUGAGUAAUGCUUGGGAACUUGCCUUUGCGAGGGGGAUAACAGUUGGAAACGACUGCUAAUACCGCAUAAUGUCUUCGGACCAAACGGGGCUUCGGCUCCGGCGCAAAGAGAGGCCCAAGUGAGAUUAGCUAGUUGGUAAGGUAACGGCUUACCAAGGCGACGAUCUCUAGCUGUUCUGAGAGGAAGAUCAGCCACACUGGGACUGAGACACGGCCCAGACUCCUACGGGAGGCAGCAGUGGGGAAUAUUGCACAAUGGGGGAAACCCUGAUGCAGCCAUGCCGCGUGUGUGAAGAAGGCCUUCGGGUUGUAAAGCACUUUCAGUUGUGAGGAAAAGUUAGUAGUUAAUACCUGCUAGCCGUGACGUUAACAACAGAAGAAGCACCGGCUAACUCCGUGCCAGCAGCCGCGGUAAUACGGAGGGUGCGAGCGUUAAUCGGAAUUACUGGGCGUAAAGCGCACGCAGGCGGUUUGUUAAGCUAGAUGUGAAAGCCCCGGGCUCAACCUGGGAUGGUCAUUUAGAACUGGCAGACUAGAGUCUUGGAGAGGGGAGUGGAAUUCCAGGUGUAGCGGUGAAAUGCGUAGAUAUCUGGAGGAACAUCAGUGGCGAAGGCGACUCCCUGGCCAAAGACUGACGCUCAUGUGCGAAAGUGUGGGUAGCGAACAG